UAUAAGUAAAAUCAUUUGUUGCAUAUAUACCGUUGCGAGAUUUCCAAAACCGACCUACAGAGACAAUAGUUCAAUAUUAUCAGAAUCUCAUAUUCAAAUAAGCAAGAAUAACUUUUCCUUUUUAUUUGCCUACUGGUAUCCAUAGGGGUCCAUAGAGAUGUCCCACUACACAUGAAUCAACAUCCAACCUUGUCAACUAAACGACCGUCCCCAUAUCUCAUCAGGUAUGAGUGCCAAAAAUAUCAUCUCUCAAUACUUCAUUUAGUAUGAUGGUGAAACAGCCUGUCCCCAUACCACGUCCG
rnacentral:lncRNA from 1 species